CCAACGGCCUUCUUUAAGGCCUCAAAAUACUUAUAAUCCAUAUAUUU
rfam:Caenorhabditis brenneri strain PB2801 C_brenneri-6.0.1_Cont81.5, whole genome shotgun sequence.